AUUGGUGCUUGCACCAGAUGACGAGUGGCGCACGGGUGCGUAACGCGUAUGCAACCUACCUUUUACUAGAGUAUAGCCCAGAGAAAUUUGGAUUAAUCCUCUAUAACAUCUUUUAAUUUCAUGAUUUUAAGAUUAAAGUUUUAACGGUAAAAGAUGGGCAUGCGUCCUAUUAGUUUGUAGGUGAGGUAACGGCUCACCUAGACUACGAUAGGUAGGGGCCCUGAGAGGGGGAUCCCCCACACUGGUACUGAGACACGGACCAGACUCCUACGGGAGGCAGCAGUAAGGAAUAUUGGACAAUGGACGAAAGUCUGAUCCAGCCAUGCCGCGUGCAGGAUGACAGCCCUACGGGUUGUAAACUGCUUUUAUACAGGAAGAAACACUCCGACGUGUCGGAGCUUGACGGUACUGUAAGAAUAAGGAUCGGCUAACUCCGUGCCAGCAGCCGCGGUAAUACGGAGGAUCCAAGCGUUAUCCGGAGUCAUUGGGUUUAAAGGGUCCGCAGGCUGUUUUUUAAGUCAGAGGUGAAAUCCUACAGCUCAACUGUAGAACUGCCUUUGAUACUGGAAAACUUGAGUUAUUGUGAAGUGGUUAGAAUGUGUGGUGUAGCGGUGAAAUGCAUAGAUAUCACACAGAAUACCGAUUGCGAAGGCAGAUCACUAACAAUAUACUGACGCUCAUGGACGAAAGCGUGGGGAGCGAACAGGAUUAGAUACCCUGGUAGUCCACGCCGUAAACGAUGGAUACUAGCUGUUCGUCUAACAUUGGUUAGAUGAGUGGCUAAGCGAAAGUGAUAAGUAUCCCACCUGGGGAGUACGGUCGCAAGACUGAAACUCAAAGGAAUUGACGGGGGCCCGCACAAGCGGUGGAGCAUGUGGUUUAAUUCGAUGAUACGCGAGGAACCUUACCAGGGCUUAAAUGUAGUGGGACAGGUCUAGAGAUAGACCCUUCUUCGGACUCAUUACAAGGUGCUGCAUGGUUGUCGUCAGCUCGUGCCGUGAGGUGUCAGGUUAAGU
rnacentral:rRNA from 1 species